AUAUCAUCUAUUGAAUAAUAACCUGUGAAGUGAACUCACCGAUUACUGUACACUGAAAACAGGUUGUUUACACUCUCCAUGUCCCAAAUGGCACCCUAUUCCCUACUUAGUGCCCUACUUUUGUCCAGGGCCCAUAAGGGUCUAUAUAGUGCACUACCUUUGACCAGCACCCCAUCGGGAAUAGGGUGUAAUUUGGUACACAGACAAUAACUGUCUGGACACUGAUGUCCCCUCAUCUUUGUAUAGCUGAUGGACUUCAUGACACAAUGAAUAUGACAACAACAACACUCCCCUCUCUGUAAGGUCAUGUUCCCCUCUCCUAACAAUAUGACCUCUUCCUCAUCAUCUCUCAGUGUCCUAGUAAACCAGGUCUGAUAGGACACAGUCCUCUCCUAACAAUAUGACCUCUUCCUCAUCAUCUCUCAGUGUCCUAGUAAACCAGGUCUGAUAGGACACAGUCCUCUCCUAACAAUAUGACCUCUUCCUCAUCAUCUCUCAGUGUCCUAGUAAACCAGGUCUGAUAGGACACAGUCCUCUCCUAACAAUAUGACCUCUACCUCAUCAUCUCUCAGUGUCCUAGUAAACCAGGUCUGAUAGGACACAGUCCUCUCCUAACAAUAUGACCUCUUCCUCAUCAUCUCUCAGUGUCCUAGUAAACCAGGUCUGAUAGGACACAGUCCUCUCCUAACAAUAUGACCUCUACCUCAUCAUCUCUCAGUGUCCUAGUAAACCAGGUCUGAUAGGACACAGUCCUCUCCUAACAAUAUGACCUCUACCUCAUCAUCUCUCAGUGUCCUAGUAAACCAGGUCUGAUAGGACACAGUCCUCUCCUAACAAUAUGACCUCUACCUCAUCAUCUCUCAGUGUCCUAGUAAACCAGGUCUGAUAGGACACAGUCCUCUCCUAACAAUAUGACCUCUACCUCAUCAUCUCUCAGUGUCC